UACGAAGGGGGCUAGCGUUGUUCGGAAUCACUGGGCGUAAAGCGCACGUAGGCGGGUCUUUAAGUCAGGGGUGAAAUCCUGGAGCUCAACUCCAGAACUGCCUUUGAUACUGAAGAUCUUGAGUUCGGGAGAGGUGAGUGGAACUGCGAGUGUAGAGGUGAAAUUCGUAGAUAUUCGCAAGAACACCGGUGGCGAAGGCGGCCCCCUGGACCGGUACUGACGCUGAGGCGCGAAAGCGUGGGUAGCAAACGGG
rnacentral:rRNA from 1 species